UACGAAGGGGGCUAGCGUUGCUCGGAAUUACUGGGCGUAAAGCGCACGUAGGCGGGUCAUUAAGUCGGGGGUGAAAUCCUGGAGCUCAACUCCAGAACUGCCUCCGAAACUGAUGAUCUUGAGUUCGGGAGAGGUGAGUGGAACUGCGAGUGUAGAGGUGAAAUUCGUAGAUAUUCGCAAGAACACCAGUGGCGAAGGCGGCUCACUGGCCCGAUACUGACGCUGAGGUGCGAAAGCUAGGGGAGCGAACGGGG
rnacentral:rRNA from 1 species